rnacentral:rRNA from 1 species
GAUGAACGCUGGCGGCGUGCCUAAUACAUGCAAGUCGAGCGAACAGACGCGGAGCUUGCUGGGCGGACGUUAGCGGCGGGGGGGUGAGACACACGUGGAUAACGUACCUAUAAGAGGGGGAUCACUUCGGGAAAGCGGAGCAUAUACCGGAUAAUAUAUUGAACCGCGGGGUGCAAUAGUAAGAGACGGUUUUGCGGUCACUAAUAGAGGGAUCCCAGCCGCUUUAGCUGGUUGGUAAGGUAAAGGCUUUCGACGGCGACGAUGCGUGGCCGAGCUGAGAGGGUGGUCGGCCACCCUGGAGCUGAGACACGGUCCUGACUCCUACGGGACGCAGCAGUAGGGAAUCUUCCGCAGUGGGCGAAAGCCUUACGGAGCGACGCCGCGUGAGUUAUGAAGGUCUUCGGAUCGUAAUACUCUGUUACUAGUGAAGAACAAAUGUGUAAGUAACUAAGCACUUCUUGACGGUACCUAAUCAGAAAGCCCCGGCUAACUACGUG